rnacentral:rRNA from 1 species
GACGAACGCUGGCGGCGUGCUUAACACAUGCAAGUCGAGCGGUAAGGCCCUUUCGGGGGUACACGAGCGGCGAACGGGUGAGUAACACGUGGGUGACCUGCCCUCAGCUCUGGGAUAAGCCUGGGAAACCGGGUCUAAUACCGGAUAUGACUCCAUGACGCAUGUUGUGGGGUGGAAAGCCUUGUGCGGUUGAGGAUGGGCCCGCGGCCUAUCAGCUUGUUGGUGGGGUGAUGGCCACCAAGGCGACGACGGGUAGCCGGCCUGAGAGGGCGACCGGCCACACUGGGACUGAGACACGGCCCAGACUCCUACGGGAGGCAGCAGUGGGGAAUCUUGCGCAAUGGGCGAAAGCCUGACGCAGCGACGCCGCGUGAGGGAUGACGGCCUGUGU